rnacentral:rRNA from 1 species
AUUGAACGCUGGCGGCAGGCCUAACACAUGCAAGUCGAGCGAGCGGCGGACGGGUGAGUAAUGUCUGGGAAACCGCCUGAUGGAGGGGGAUAACUACUGGAAACGGUAGCUAAUACCGUAUACCAUCAGCUGUGCCCAGAUGGGAUUGGCUUGUAGGUGGGGUAACGGCUCACCUAGGCGACGAUCCCUAGCCGGUCUGAGAGGAUGACCAGCCACACUGGAAAUGAGACACGGUCCAGAGUCCUACGGGAGGCAGCAGGAGGGAAUAUUGCACAAUGGGCGCAAGCAUAAUGCAGCCAUGCCGGGUGAGUGAAGAGGGCCUUCGGGUUGUAAAGCCCUUUCAGCGGGGAAGCGUUACCCGAAGAAGAAGCACCGGCUAACUCCGUGCCAGCAGCCGCGGUAAUUC